rfam:Cryptococcus gattii R265 mitochondrial scaffold supercont2.28, whole genome shotgun sequence.
GGGGUAGUAUCAUAAUUGGUAAUGAGAUCCCUUGUCGAGGGAUAAUAUAACGGUUCGAGUCCGCUUUACCUCG